rnacentral:rRNA from 1 species
GACGAACGCUGGCGGCGUGCCUAAUACAUGCAAGUAGAACGCACAGUUUAUACCGUAGCUUGCUACACCAUAGACUGUGAGUUGCGAACGGGUGAGUAACGCGUAGGUAACCUGCCUGGUAGCGGGUGAUAACUAUUGGAAACGAUAGCUAAUACCGCCUAAUAUUUAUUAUUGCAUGAUAAUUAAUUGAAAUGUGCAAUUGCACCACUACCAGAUGGACCUGCGUUGUAUUAGCUAGUAGGUGAGGUAACGGCUCACCUAGGCGUCGAUGCAUAGCAGAACUGAGAGGGGGAGCGGCCACACUGGGGCUGAGACAAGGCCCAGACUCCUACGGGAGGCAGCAGGAGUGAAUCUUAGGCAAGGGACGGAAGUCUGACCAAGCAACGCCGCGUGAGUGAAGAAGGUUUUCGGAUCGGAAAGAUCUGUUGUAAGAGAAGAACGGGUGUGAGAGUGGAAAGUUCACACUGUGACGGUAUCUUACCAGAAAGGGACGGCUAACUACGUG